rnacentral:tRNA from 1 species
GGGCGGUUAGCUCAGUGGUAGCAGCGCUUCCUUGACACGGAAGAGGUCACUGGUUCGAACCCAGUACCGCCCACCA